AAAGUACUCCCUCCGUCCCAAAAUUCUUGUCUUAGAUUUGUCUAGAUACAGAUGUAUCAAGUCACAUUUUAGUAUUAGAUACAUCCGUAUCUAGACAAAUCUAAGACAAGAAAUUUGGGACAAAGGGA
rnacentral:pre_miRNA from 1 species